AGAAACAAGAACACUAAUAAAACUAUCAAUCUUCUCAAUUCUUAAUAACAAUAUACAAAAUUUAGCAAAACAAGAACACUAAUAACACUAUCAAUCUUCUCAUUUCUUGAUAACAAUAUACAAAAUUUAACAAAACAAGAACACUAAUAACACUGUCAAUCUUCUCAUUUCUUGAUAACAAUAUACAAAAUUUAGCAAAACAAGAACACUAUCAAUCUUCUCAUUUUUUGAUAACAAUAAAGAAAAUUUAGCAAAACAAGAACACUAAUAACACUAUCCAUCCUUUCAUUUCUUGAUAACAAUAUACAAAAUUCAGCAAAACAAGAACCCUAAUAACACUAUCAAUCUUCUCAUUUCUUGAUAACAAUAUACAAAAUUCAGCAAAACAAGAACACUAAUAACAGUAUCAAUCCUCUCAUUUCUUGAUUACAAUAUACAAAAUUUAGCAAAACAAGAACAUUAAUAACAUUAUCAAUCUUCUCAUUUCUUGAUAACAAUAUACAAAAUUUAGCGAAACAAGAACACUACUAACACUAAAUCAAUCUUCUCAUUUCUUUUAAUAAACAAUAUACAAAAUUUAGCAAAACAAGAACACUAAUAACAUCUAAUCAAAUCUUCUCAAUUUCUGAUGUAACAAUAUACAAAAUUUAGCAAACCAAGAACAUAAUAACACUAUCAAUCUCUCAUCAUUUCUUGAUAAACAAUAUACAAAUUUUAUGCAAAACAAGAAACACUAAUAAACACUAUCAAUCUUUCCAUUUCUUGAUAACAAUAUACAAAAUUUAGCGAAACAAGAACAAUAAUAACACUACACAAUCUUUAUUCUGAAUAAACAAUAUACAAAAUUUAGCAAAACAAGAACCAUCUAAUAAGCAUUCUAUCAAAUCUUCUCAUUUCUUGAUAACAAUAUACAAAAUUUAGCAAACUAGAUACACUAAUACACUAUCAAUCUUUCUCAUUUCUUUGAUAACAAUAUAUCUACUAAAUAUUAGCAAAAACAAGAACACUAAUAACAAAUGUAUCAAUCCUCUCAUUUCUUAAUAACAAUCUAAAUAAAAUUUAGCAAACAAGACAAUAACACUUCAAUCCUCUCAUUCUGAUAACAAACAUAUAACAAACAAACACUAAUCACUAUCAAUCUUCUGCAUUUCUUGAUGAACAUAUACAAAAUUUUAGCAAAACAAGACACUAAUAACACAUAUCAAUCUUCUCAUUUUUGAUAACAAUAUACAAAUUAAAAAAAACCAAGAACACUAAUAACACUAUCAAUCUUCUCAUUUCUUAUAACAAUGAUACUAAAAUUUAGCAAAACAAGAACACUAAUAACACAUAUCAAUCUUCUGACUUUCUUGAUAACAAUAUAAAAAAAUUUAGCAGAAACAGAACACUAAUAAACUAUCAAUCUUCUCAUUUUCCUUAAUAACAAUAUACAAAUUUAAAAACAAGAACACUAAAUAACACUAUCAAUCUUCAUUUCUUGAUAAACAAUAUCAAAAUUAGCAAAACAACAUUAAUAACACUAGUCAUCUCUCAUUUCUUGAUACAAUAUACAAAUUUAGAAAAACAAGAACACUAUACACUAUCAUCUUCUCAAAUUUUCUUGAUAACAAUAUACAGAAAUUUAGCCAAUAACAAGAACACUAAUAACACUAUCAUCUCUCAUUUCUUGAUACAAUAUAUCAAAAUUCGCAAUACAAAGAAACUAUAACACUAUCAACUUCUCAUUCUUGAUAACAAUAUACAAAUUAGGCAAACACAAAACACUAAUAACACCUAUCAAUCUCUCAUUUCUUGAUAACAUAUACAAAAUUUAGCAAAACAAGAACAUAUAACAUUAUCCAUCUUCUCAUUUCUUGAUAACAAUAUACAAAUUUACGAAACAAGAACACUAAUAACACUAUCAAUCUUCCUCAUUUUUGAAUCAACAAUAUACAAAAUUUAGCAAAACAAGAAACUAAUAACACUAUCAAUCUUUCUCAUUUCUUGAUAAAAUAUACAAUUUAGCAAAAACAGAAGCACUAAUAACACUAUCAAUUGUCCUCAUUUUCUUUGAUAACAAAUACAAAAUUUAGCAAAAACAAGAACACUAUAACACUAUCAAUCUUCCAUUUCUUGAUAACAAAUACAAAUUUAGCAAAACAAGAACAAUAAUAACACUUCAAUCUUCUUUCCUUGAUAACAAUAUACAAAAUCUAGCAAAAAAGAACACUAAUAACACUAUCAAUCUUCUGUUCUUUUGAUAACAAUAUACAAAUUUGCAAAACAGAGAACACUAAUAACACUUCAUCUUCUCAUUUUUCAUAACAAUAUACAAAUUUACAAACAAGAACAUAAUAACAUAUCUAUCUUCUCAAUUUUCUUUGAUAACAAUAUACAAAUUUAGCAAAACAAGAACAUAAUAACACUAUCAAUCUUCUCAUUUCUGAUAACAAUAUACAAAAUUUAGCAAAACAAGAACAAAUAACAUAUCAAUCUUCUAUUUCUUGAUAACAAUAUACAAAUUUAGCAAAACAAGAACACUAAUAACACAAAUCUUCUCAUUCUUGAUAAAUAUACAAAAUUUAGCAAAACAAGAAACACUAAUAACAUUAUCAAUUCUCUCAUUUCUUAAUAACAAUACAUAAUUUAGCAAACAAGAACAUAAUAACACUGCUUCAUCUCUCAUUCUUGAUAACAAUAUACAAAAUAUAGCAAAACCAGAAACACUAAUACACUCAUCAAUCUUCUCAUUUCUUGAUAACAAUAUACAAAAUUUGCAACAGAACAUAAUACACUAUCAAUCUUCUCAUUUCUUGAUUAACAUAUACAAAAUUUAAAAAAAAACAAGAACACUAAUAACACUAUAUCUCUCAUUUCUUGAUAACAAUAAUACAAAAUUUAGCAAAACAAGACACUAAUAACAUUCAAUCUUCUCAUUUCUUGAUAAACAAUAUAAAAAAUUUAGCAAAACAAGAACAUAAUAACUAUCAAUCUUCUCAUUUCUUAAACAAUAUACAAAAUUUAGAAAAACAGAACACUAAUAACAUAUCAUCUUCUCAUUUCUUGAUAACAAUAUACAAAUUUAGCAACAAGAACACUAAUAACACUUCAAUCUUCUCAUUUUUGAUAACAAUAUACAAAAUUUAGCAAAACAAGAACACUAUCAAUCUUCUCAUUUUUGAUAACAAUAUACAAAAUUUAGCAAAACAAGAACACUAAUAACACUAUCAUCUCUCAUUUCUGAUAACAAUAUACAAAAUUCAGAACAAACAAGAAGCUUCAUUCUUGAUAACAACUAUCAUUCCAACAAGACAUAUCAUUCCAUGUCUGAUAAAUGAAAAUUUCUAAGCAAAUCAAGACACAAUAAACAUCCACUACAUUUGAACAAUUUUACGAACAAGAAAUGAUACACUCUCCAAUUCUCAUUCUGAUAACAAUAUACAAAUUUAGAAAACAAGAACUUAUCAAUCCUCUCAUUUCUUGAUAACAAUAUACAUAAUUUAGCAAAACAAGAACACUAAUAACACUAUCAAUCUUCUCAUUUCUUGAUAACAAUAUACAAAAUUUAGAAAAACAAGAACACUAAUAACACUAUCAAUCUUCACAUUUCUUGAUAACAAUAUACAUAAUUUAGCAAAACAAGAACAAUAAUAACACUCUCAGUCCUCUUUUUUCUUGAUAAUAAUAUACAAAAUUUAACAAAAGAAGAACACUAAUAACACUAUCAAUCUUCUGAUUUCUUGAUAACACUAUACAAAAUUUAGCAAAACAAGAACACUAAUAACACUGUCAAUCUUCUCAUUUCUUGAUAACAAUAUACAAAAUUUAGCAAAACAAGAACACUAUUAAUCUUCUCAUUUUUUGAUAACAAUUUACAAAAUUUAGCAAAACAAGAACACUAAUAACACUAUCCAUCCUCUCAUUUCUUGAUAACAAUAUACAAAAUUCAGCAAAACAAGAACCCUAAUAACACUAUCAAUCUUCUCAUUUCUUGAUAACAAAAUUUAGCACAAACAAGAACACUAAUAAACACUAUCAAUCUUUCUUGAUAACAAUAUACAAAAUUCAGCAAAACAAGAACACUAAUAACACUAUCAAUCUUCUCAUUUCUUGAUAACAAUAUACAAAAUUCAGCAAAACAAGAACACUAAUAACACUAUCAAUCCUGUCAUUUCUUGAUAACAAUAUACAAAAUUUAGCAAACCAAGAACAUUAAUAACAUUAUCAAUCUUCUCAUUUCUUGAUAACAAUAUACAAAAUUUAGCAAAAUAAGAACACUAAUAACACUAUCAAUCUUCUUAUUUCUUGAUAACAAUAUACAAAAUUUAGCAAAGCAAGAACACUAAUAACACUAUCAAUCUUCUCAUUUCUUGAUAACAAAAUAGAAAAUUUAGCAAAACAAGAACACUAAUAACAAUAUCAAUCCUCUCAUUUCUUGAUAACAAUAUACAUAAUUUAGCUAAACAAGAACACUAUCAAUCUUCUCAUUUCUUGAUAACAAUAUACAAAAUUUAGCAAAACAAGAACACUAAUAACACUAUCAAUCCUCUCAUUUCUUAAUAACAAUAUACAAAAUUCAGCAAAACAAGAACCCUAAUAACACUAUCAAUCUUCUCAUUUCUUGAUAACAAUAUACAAAAUUCAGCAAAACAAGAACACUAAUAACACUAUCAAUCCUCUCAUUUCUUGAUAACAAUAUAAAAAGUUUAGCAAACAAGAACACAAUAACACUAUCAAUCUUCUCAUUUCUUAAUACAAAUAUAGAAAAUUUAGCAAAACAAGAACACUAAUAACACUAAUCAAUCUCUCUCUUUCUUAGAUAACAAUAUACACAAAUUUUAGCAAAACAAGAACACUAAUAACAUUAUCAAUCUUCUCAUUUCUGAUAACAAUUAGACAAAUUUAGCAAAACAAGAACACUAUAUAACACUAUCAAUCUUUCUCAUUUCUUGAUAACAAUAUACAAAAUUAUAAAAACAGAAACACUAAUAACACUAUCAAUCUUCUCAUUUCUUGAUAACAAUAUAACAAAAUUUAGCAAAACAAGAACACUAAUAACACUAUCAAUCUUCUCAUUUCUUGAUAAAAAUAGCAAAAUUAGCAAAACAAGACACUAUAACAACUAUCAAUCUUCUCAUUUCUUAAUAACAAUAUACAAAUUUAGCAAAAAGAACACUAAUAACACUAUCAAUCUUUCCAUUUCUUGAUAACAAUAUACAAAAUUGCAAAACAAGAACACUAAUAACACUCAAUUCUUCUCAUUUCUUGAUAACAAUAUACAAAAUUUAGCAAAACAAGAACACUAUCAAUCUUCUCAUUUCUUGAUAACAAUAUACAAAAUUUAGCAAACAAGAAACACUAAUAACACUAUCAUCUCUCAUUUCUUGAUAACAAUAUACAAAAUUCAGCAAAACAAGAACCUAAUAACAUAUCAAUCUUCUCAUUUCUUGAUAACAAUAUACAAAAUUCAGCAAAACAAGAACAUAAUAACUAUCAAUCCUCUCAUUCUUGACAACAAUAUACAAAAUUAAGGCAAAACAAGAACAUUAAUAACAUUAUCAAUCUUCUCAUUUCUUGAUAACAAUAUACAAAAUUUAGCGAAACAAGAACACUAAUAACACUAUCAAUCUUCUCUUUUUUCUUAAUAACAAUAUACAAAAUUUAGCAAAACAAGAACACUAAUAACACUAUCAAUCUUCUCAUUUCUUGAUAACAAUAUACAAAAUUUAGCAAAAACAAGAACACUAAUAAACACAUCAAUCUUCUCAUUUCUUGAUAACAAUAUACAAAAUUUAGCAAAGCAAAGAACACUAAUAACACUAUCAAUCUUCUCAUUCUUGAAUAACAAAAUAGAAAAUUUAGGCAAAACAAGAACACUAAUAACAUCAAUCCUUCAUUUCUUGAUAACAAUAUACAAAUUUAGCAAAACAAACACUAAUAACAUAUCAACCUCAUUUCUUGAUAACAAUAUACAAAAUUUGCAAAACAAGAACACUAUAUUAACACUAUCAAUUUCUCAUUUCUUAAUAACAAUAUACAAAAUUUAGCAAAAAAAACAAAACAUAAUAACACUAUCAAUCUCUCAUUUCUUGAUAACAUAUACAAAAUUUGGCAAAACAAGAACACUAAUAACACUAUCAAUGCUUCUUCAUUUCUUGAUAACAAAUAUACAAAUUUAAAAACAAGAACACUAUAACAACUAUCAAUCUUCUCAUUUCUUGAUAACAAUAUACAAAAUUUAGCAAAACAAGAAACUAAUAACACUAUCAAUCUUCUCAUUUCUUGAUAACAAUAUCAAAAUUUAGCAAAACAAGAACACUAUAACACUAUCAAUCUUCUCAUUUCUUAAUAACAAUAUACAAAAUUUAGCAAAACAAGAACACUAAUAACACUAUCAAUCUCUCAUUUCUUGAUAACAAUAUACAAAAUUUAGCAAAACAAGAACACUAAUAACACUUCAAUCUUCUCAUUUCUUGAUAACAAUAUACAAAAUUUAGCAAACAAGAACACUAAAACACUAUCAAUCUUCUCAUUUCUUGAUAACAAUAUAAAUUUAGCAAAACAAGAACACUAAUAACAACAUCUCAUCCUCUAUUUCUGAUAACAAUAUACAAAAUUCAGCAAACAAGAACCCUAAUAACACUAUCAAUCUUCUCAUUUCUUGAUAACAAUAUACAAAAUUCAGAAACAAGAACACUAAUAACACUAUCAAUCUUCUCAUUUCUUGAUAACAAUAUAAAAUUUAGCAAAAACAAGAACAUUAAUAACAUUAUCAUCUUCUCAUUUCUUGAUACAAUAUACAAAAUUUAGCAAAAAAGAACACUAAUAACACUAUCAAUCUUCUCAUUUCUUGAUAACAAUAUACAAAAUUUAGCAAACAAGAAACUAAAACACUAAUAAUCUCUCAUUUCUUGAUAACAAUAUACAAAAAUUAUAGAAAACAAGAACACUAUCAAUCUUCCUCAUUUUUUGAUAACAAUAUCAAAAUUUAGCAAAACAGAACACUAAAACACUAUCUCUUCUCAUUUCUUGAUAACAAUAUACAAUUCGCAAAACAAGAACACUAAUAACACUAUCAAUCUUCUCAUUUCUUGAUAACAAUAUACAAAAUUUAGCAAAACAAGAACACUAAUAACACUAUCAAUCCUCUCAUUUCUUGACAACAAUAUACAAAAUUUAGCAAAACAAGAACAUUAAUAAACUAUCAAUCUUCUCAUUCUUAUAACAAUAUACAAAAUUUAAGCGAAACAAGAACACUAAUAACACUAUCAAUCUUCUCAUUUCUAUAAUAACGAAUAUACAAAAUUUAGCAAAAAAGAAAACACUAAUAACACUAUCAAUCUUCUCAUUUCUUGAUAACAAUAUACAAAAUUACAAAACAGAACAACUAAUAACACAUCAAUUUUCUCAUUUCUUGAUAACAUAUACAAAAUUUAGCCAAAAGCAAGAAACACUAAUAAACUAUCAAUCUUCUCAUUUCUUAAUAACAAUAAUAGAAAAUUUAGCAAAACAAGAAACACUAAAACACUAUCAAUCAUCUCAUUUCUUAAUAAACAAUACANNNNNNNNNNNNNNNNNNNNNGGCAAAAAAAGAAGGGAGAGGAGGGAGGAGUAGAGGGAAUAUAUAUCUGCAACAUACAGCCAGGAGAGUAUUAUAUUUAAUUUUAAUAUAGAGAGAAUUCACACACAUUACAGUAAGUAACUCAAUAUAUAUAAAUUAACAACAUCUCUAUAUGUAUUAUAAUAUACACAUAUAAUCUAUAUAUUAUCUCAAUCUAGUAUCACUAAUUAGAUAUCACUUAGAUCACAUACACCUUAUAACUCACAAAAAGAAUAUUUUAUAUAUAUAGCGCGAGAGAUAUAUAUACCACUCACUAGAAAAUACACAAAUCACAAAUUAUGACACCACUAUAUUCUUUCACAAAUGAGUUGACAUUAUAUAUAUAAAUACUAAAUAUUGUGUAGCAACAAUGAUAUAAUACUCACGCUUAUAAAUAACAUCUAUAGUAAGAAAGAAGAAAUAUUUAUGAAUAAACAAUCAUUGCUAUAUAAUAAUGAGAGAGUGCACAACACAUAAUAUAGGAACAUCAAUAUAGUAACAACAUAAUUCGGAUUAUGUCUCUCUCUAUAUGCUCAUAAUUUAUGCGUAUUAGAUAUAAAAAUAAUACAAAUAGCUUCUCACAUGCAAUAAAUGCAGGAUCACAAAUAUAUAUUAACACUAGUAAUCACAAACUUACUUACUCAUUUUUCUUGAAUAACUAAAUAUAUAACUUUUAAAGCACAUAACCACACGUAUAUUCACCUAAUAAACACUAUCAAUCUCUCAUUUCUUGAUAACAAUAUACAAAAUUUAGCAAAAACAAGAAACAACUAUAAUAACAUUAUCAAUUCGCUCUCAUUUCUUGAAAACAAUAUACAUAAUUUAGCAAAACAAGAACAAUAAAACACUCUCAAUCCUCUCAUUUCUUAAUACAAUAUACAAAAUUUAAGAAAAAGAAGAAACACUAAUAACACUAUCAAUCUCUGAUUUCUUGAUAACAAUAACAAAAUUAGCAAAACAAGAACACUAAUAACACUAUCAAUCUUCUCAUUUUCUUAUAACAAUAUACCAAAAUUUAAGCAAAACAAGAAACACUAAUAACACUAUCAAUCUUCUCAUUUCUUGAUAACAAUAUACAAAAUUUAGCAAAACAAGAACACUAAUAAACACUAUCAAUCUUCUCAAUUCUUGAUAACAAUAUACAAAAUUAAAAAAACAAAAGAACACUAAUAACACUAAUCAAUCUUCUCAUUUCUUGAUAACAAAUAUACAAUUUAAAAAACAAGAACACUAAUAACACUAUCAAUCUCUCAUUUCUUGAUAACAAUACUACAAAUUGCAAAACAAGAACACUAAUAACACUCAAUCUUCUCAUUUCUUAUAACAAUAAAAAAUUUAGCAAACAAGAACACUAAUAACACUAUCAAUCUUCUAUUUCUUGAUAAACAAUAUAAAAAAUUUAGCAAAAUAAAAACACUAAUAACACUAUCAAUCUUCUCAUUUCUUGAUAACAAUAUAAAAAAUUUAGCAAAAACAGAGACACUAAUAACACUAUCAAUCUUCUCAUUUCUUGAUAACAAUAUACAAAAUUUAGCAAAACAAAGAACACUAAUAAAACUAUCAAUCUUCUCAUUUCUUGAAUAACAAAUACAGAAUUUUAGCAAAACAAAGAACACUAAUAACACUAUCAAUCCUCUCAUUUCUUGAUACCAAUAUACAAAUUUAGCAAAACAAGAACACUAAUAAACUAUCAAUCUCUCAAUGUUCUUGAUAAUACAAUAUAUAAAUUUAGCACAAACAAGAACACUAAUAAACACUAUCAAUCUCUCAUUUCUUGAUAACAAUUACAAAUUUAGCAAAACAAGAACGUACUAAUAACACUAUCAAUCCUCAUUUCUUGAUAACAAUAUACAAAUUAGGAAACAAGAACACUAAUAACACUAUCAAUCUUAAUUUCUUGAUAACAAUAUACAAAAUUAGCAAAACAAGAACACUAAUAACACUAUCAUCUUCUCAAUUUCUUGAUAACAAAUAAUACAAAAAUUUAGCAAACAAGAACACUAAUAACACUAUCAAUCUUCUAAUUUCUUGAUAACAAUAUACAAAAUUUAGGAAAAAAGACAUGAUAACAUAUCAAUCUUCUCAUUCUUUUGAUAACAAAAUACAAAUUUAAGCAAAGCAAAGAACACUAAUAAAACUUCAAUUUCUCAUUUCUUGAUAACAAAAUAGAAAAAUUUUAGCAAAACAAGAACACAAAUUACUAUCAUCUUCUCAUUUCUUGAUAACAAUAUAUCAAAAUUAGCAAAACAAGAACAGCUAUAACAUUAAUGCAAUCCUCUCAUUUCUUGAUAACAAUAUACAUAAUUAGCAAAAACCAAGAAACACUAAUCAUCUUCUCAUUUCUUGAUAAUAAUAUACCCAAAAUUUAGCAAAACAGAACCAAUAACACUAUCGAUCCUCUCCCUUUCUUGAUAACAAAUAAAGUACGAAAUUCAGCAAAAAAGAACGCUAAUAACUACUAUCAGAUCUUCUCAUUUCUUGAUAACAAUAUACAAAAUUCAGCAAAACAAGAACACUAAUAACAUUAUCAAUCCUCUCAUUCUUGAUCAACAAAUAUAACAAAAUUUAGCAAAACAAGAACAUUAAUAACAUUAUCAAAUCUUUCCAUUUCUUGAUAACAAUAUAGAAAAUUUAGGCGAAACAAGAACACUAUAACACUAUCAAUCAUCCUUUCAUUUCUAAUAAUAAUAUAAAAUUUAGCAAAACAAGAACAACUAAAUAACACGUCAAAUCUUCACAUUUCUUGAUAAACAAUAUACAAAAUUUAGCAAAACAAGAACACUAAUAACACUAAUCGAUCUUCUCAUUUUCUUGAUAACAAUAUACAAAAUUUAAAGCAAAGCAAGACCACUAAUAACACUAUCCAAGCUUCUCAUUUCUUGAUAACAAAAUAGAAAAUUUAGCAAAACAAGAACACCUGAAUACACUAUCAUCCUUCUCAUCUCUUGAUAACAGUAUAUCAAAACUUUAGCAAAACAAGAACACUAAUAACAUUAUCAAUCCUCUCAUUUUCUUGAUAACAAUAUACAUAAUUUAGCAAAACCAAAACAAUAUACAACACUCUCAAUCCUCUCAUUUCUUAAUAACAAUAUACAAAAUUUAAGAAAAGAAGAACACUAAUGACACUAAUCAAUCUUCUGAUUUCUGAUAAACAAUCUACAAAAUAUAGCAAAACAAAGAACAUAAUAACACUAUGCAAAUCUUCUCAAUUUCUCAUAACAAUUAACAAAAUUUAGCAAAACAAAACACUAAAUAACACUAUCAUCUUCUCAUUUUUUGUACAAUAUAACAAAUUUAGCAAAACAAAGAACACUAAUAACACUAAUCAAUGCUUCUCAUUUCUUGAUACAAUAUACAAAAUUUUAGGCAAAACAAGAAACUAUAACACUAUCAAUCUUUCUCUAUUUCUUGAUAACAAUAUACAAAAUUUUUAAAAAAUAACAAGAACACAAUAACACUAUCAAUUUCUCAUUUCUCCUUGAUAACAAUAUACAAAAUUUAGCAAAACAAAAACACUAAUAACACUAUCAAUCUUCUAAUUUCUUGAUAAGCAAAUAUAAUCAAAAUUUUAGCAAAACAAUAACACUAAUACACUAUCAAUCUUCUCAUUUCUUUCUUGAUAACAAUAUACAAAACUUAAAAAAACAAAGAACACUAAUAAACACUACAUCUUCUCAUUUUUGAUAACAAAUUUACAAAACUUUAAAAAAACAAAAAACUAAUAACACUAUCAAUCUUCUCAUUUCUGAUAACAUAGAUAAAAUUUUGCAAAAACAACGAACACUAAUAACUACUGUCACUCUUCUCAUUUCUGAUAAACAAUAUACAAAAUUUAGCAAAACAAGAACACUAAUAACACUAUCAAUCUUCUGAUUUUCUUGAUAACAAUUUAUACAUAAUUUUGGCCAAAUAAAAACCUAAUAACACUAUAAAUCUCUUCAUUUCUUGAUAACGAUAUAAAAACUUAGCAAAAACAAGGACACUAAUAACACUAUCAAUCUUCACUUUCCUUGAUAUACAAUGAUACAAAAUUUAGCAAAACAGAAACACUAAUACAAAAACUAUCAAUCUUCUCAUUUCUUGAUAACAAUAACAGAAUUUUGCAAAACAAGAACAUUGAUAAACUAUCAAUCCUCUCAUUUCUUGAUAACAAUAUAACAAGAAUUUAGCCAAAAAAAGAACACUAAUAAACUCUAAUCCUCCAAUUUCUUGAUAAUAAUAUCAUAAAAUUUUAGCAAAACAAGAAACCAUAACACUAUCAAUCCUCUCAUUUAUUGAUAACAAUGUAACAGAAUUUAUCAAAGAACAAGAACACUAUAACACUUAUCAAUCCUCUUCAUUUCUGAUAACAAUUAGCAAAUUGCAGUAACAAAACAAGAAUACUAAUAUACUACUCUCAUCUUCUUCAUUUCUGAUAUACUAUAUUAUCAUAAAUUCAGCAAAACAUAGAACACUAUAACACUAUCAUCCUCUCAAUUUCUUGAAUAACAACAUACAAAAUUUAGCAAAACAAGAACAUUAAUAACAUUUAUCAAGUCUUCUCAUUUCCUUGAUAACAAUACUACAAAAUUUAGCAAAAACAAGAACACUAAUAACGAAUUUUCAAUUCUUUUUCAAUUUCCUUGAUUAACAAUAUACAAAAUUUAGCAGAAGCAAGAACAGACUAAUAAACUGAUCAAUCUUCUCAUCUUCUGAUAACAAAAAUAGAAAAUUUAGCAAAACAGAAGAAACACUAAUAACACUAAUCAUUCCUUCUCAUUUUCUUGAUAACAAUAUACAAAAAUUUAGCAAAACAGAACACUAAUAACAAUUAUCAUCCAAUCAUUUUCUUGAUAACAAUAUAUCAAAAUUUAGCAAACAAAAACAACUAAUAACACAAUCAAUCCUCCUCAUUUUCUUGAUUUAACAAUAUACAAAAUUCAGCAAAACAAGAACAGCCUAAUAACACUAUCAAUCUUUCAAUUUCUUAAUAACAAUAUACAAUUCAGCAAAACAAGAACACUAAUAACACUAUAUCCUCGUCAAUUUUCUUGAUAACAAUAUACAAUUUAAGCAAAAACAAGAACAUUAAUAACAUUAUCAAUCUUCUCAUUUCUUGAUAACAAUAUACCAAGUUAAGCAAAACAAGGACACUAAUAACACUAUCAAUCAUCUCAUUUCUUAAUAAUAAUAAUAUCAAAAUUUAGCAAAACAAGACCACUAAUAAACUAUGCAAUCUUCUCAUUUCUUGAUAACAAUAUAACAAAAUUUAAGCAAAACCCAAGAACACUCAUUAACACUAUCAUCUUCUCAUUUCUUGAUAACAACAUAACAAAUUACAAACCCAAGAACACUAAUAACACUAUCAAUCUCACAUUCUUGAUAAGCAAAUAUACAAAAUUUAGCAAACAAGAACAUUAAUAAACUAUCAAUCCUCUCAUUUCUUGAAUAACAAUAUACAAAUAUUCAGCAAAACAAGAACCUAAUAACAACUAUCAAUCUUCUCAUUUCUUGAAUAACAAUAUAAACUAAAAUUCAGCAAGAAGCAAGAACACUAAUAACCACUGUCAAUCCUCUCAAUUUCUGAUAACAAUUCAAAUUAAGCAAAACAAGAAAUAUUAAUAACAUAUCAAUCUUCUCAUUCUUAUAACAAUAUACAAGAAUUUGGCGAAACAAGGAACACCUAAUAACACAGAAUCAAUCAUCGUCAUUUUUAAUAAUAAUAUACAAAAUUUAGCACCACAAGAACACGUAAUAACACUACAAUCUUCUCAUCUUGAAUAACAAUAGUAUAAAUUAGCAAAACAAAGAAUAACUAAUAACGACUAUCACUCUUCGUCUUUCUUGAUAAGAAAAUACAAAAGUUUUAGCAAAACAAGAACAGCUAAUAACACUUUAUCGAAUCUUCACAUUUCUUGAUAACAAUAUACAAAAUUUAGGCAAAACCAAGAACACUAAUAACACUAUCAAUCCUCAUCAUUUCUUGAUAACAAUAUACGAAAUUCAGCAAACAAGAACCUAAUACACUAUCAAUCUUCACAUUUUCUGAUAACCAAUAUAAUAAUUUAUGCAAAACAAGAACACUAAUAACACUAUCCAAUCCUCUCAUUUAUUGAUAACAAUGUACAGAAUUUCAGCAAAGACAAGAACACUAAUAACACUAUCAAUCCUCAUCAUUUCUUCCUUGAUAACAAUAACAAAAUUCAGCAAAACAAGAAACACUAAUAACACUAUCAAUCUUCUCAUUUCUUGAUAACAAUAUACAAAAUUUCAGCAAAACAAGAACACUAUAACACUAUCAAUCCUCUAUUUCUUGAUAAACACAUACAAAAUUUAGCAAACAAAACAUUACUCAAGCAUUAAUCAAUCUUCUCAUUUCUUGAUAACAAACAAAAUUAGCAAAACAAGACACUACUAAUAACCUUUCAAUCUUCUCAUUUCUUGAUAACAAUAUACAAAUUUAGCAAAACAAGACACUAAUAACACUAUCAAUCUUCUCAUUUCUUGAUAACAAAUACAAAAUUUAGCAAAAGAAGAACACUAAAUACACUAUCAAUCUUCUCAUUUCUUGAUACAAUAUACAAAAUUUAGCAAAACAAGAACACUAAUAACAAUUCAUCCUCUCAUUUCUUUGAUAACAAAUACAAAAUUUAGCAAAAACAAGAGAACACUAUAACACUAUCAAUCCUCUCAUUUCUUGAUAACAAUAUACAAAAUUUCAGCAAAACAAGAACCCUAAUACACAUUCAAUCUUCUCAUUCUCUUAUAAACAAUAUACAAAAUUCAGCAAAACAAGAACACUAAUAACACUAUCAAUCCUCUCAUUUCUGAUAACAAUAUACAAAAUUUAGCAAAACAAGAACACUUAAUAACACUAUCAAUCGUUCUCAUUUUGAUAACAAUAUACAAAUUUAGCAACAAAACAAGAACACUAAUAAACAUUAUCAAUCCUCUCAUUCUUUGAUGAACAAUAUACAAAAUUUAGCAAAACAAGAACACUAAUAAACACUAUCAAUCCUCUCAUUUCUUGAAACAAAUAUACAAAAUUCAGCAAAACAAGAACCCUAAUAACACUAUCAAGCUUCUCAUUUCUUGAUAACCAAUAUACAAAAAAUUCAGCAAAACAAGAACACUAAUAACACUAUCAAUCCUCUCAUUUCUUGUAACAAUAUACAAAUUAGCAAAACAAGCAACGAUUAUAACAGUUAUCAAUCUACUCAUUCUUGAUAACAAUAUACAAAAAGUUAGCGAAAACAAGGACACUAAUAACACUAUCAAUAUCUCAUUUCUUUAAUAAUAGAAUAUACAAAAUUAGCCAAACAAGACCCCUAAUAACCACUAUUCAAUCUUCUCAUUCUUGAUAACAAUAUCAAAUUUAGCCGAAAAACAAAGAACACUAAUUACACUAUCAAUCUUUCUCAUUUCUUGAUAAAAACAUACAAAAUUUAGCAAAACAAAGACAUAUAACACUAUUCAUCUUCACAUUCUUAUACAAUAUACCAAUUUAGCAAAACCAAGAAACACUAAAUAACACUAUCAAUCAAACAAGAACACUAAAACACUGAUAAUCUUCUCAUUUCUUAAUAACAAUAUACAAAUUCUAGCAAACAAGACACUAAUAACAUAUCAAUCUUCUCAUUUCUUUAUAAACAAUAUACAAAAUUUAGCAACAAGGAACAUUAAUAACAUAUAAUCUUCUUCAUUUCUGCUAAACAAUAUACAAAAUUUAGCGCAAACAGAACAGCUAAUAACACUUAUCCAAUACUUCUCAUUCUCUAAAUAACCAAUAUAAAAUUUAAACAAACAAGAAUAAUAACACAUAUCAAUCUUCUAUUCUUGAUAACAAUAGAUACAAAUUUGCAAAACAAGAACACAAAUCACUAUCAAUCUCUCAUUCUAUAUGAUAACAAUAUACAUAAAUUUAGCAACAAGAAACAUAUCAACUAUCAUCUCUAUUUCUAUAAACAAUAGAAAAUUUAGCAAAACAAGAACCUAAUAACACUAACAUCCUUCUCAUUUCUGGAUAACAAUAUACAAAUUUAGCAAACAAGAACACUAUCACCAUUAUCAAUCUCUUCAUCUUCUGAUACUUACAUAUUUGCCAAAAGACCAAUGACACAAUAUCUCACAUAAAACGUCAAUUUACAACCGAACACUAAUAACUAUAUCAUCUGUAAAACAAUCUAUAUUACAAAAUGUAACUCCUCUUCUCGAUCAAUUUCAAAUUGAAACGAAAACCUAAUACAUUAUAAUUUCAUUUAUAUCAAGCAAAACAAGAACUUAAAUACAUCUAUCACAGUUCUCUCAUUUUUAUUAACAAUAUACAAAAUUUAGCCAACAAGACACUAUAUAACGCCUCUCUACUAUCAAUAUAAAUCGCAACAAGUAUCUGCAAUUUCUUAUCUAUAACCAUAUACAAUUAGCAAACAAAGAAACAUUAAACAUCUAUCAAUCUUCUCAUUCUUGAUAACGAAUAUACAAAAUUUUAGCGAAAACAAGAAACACUAAUAACACUAUCAAUCUUCUAUUUACUUAGAUAACAAUACACAAAAUUUUAGCAAAACAAGAACACAACAACUAUCAUCUUCUCAUUUUAUAUAACAAUAUACCAAACAUUAGCAAAAAAGAACAUACUAAAACACAUUAUCAUUCCUUCUCAUUUCUUUGAUAACAAUUAUACAAAAUUCAGCCAAAGACAGAGAACCAUAAAACAUAGUCAAUCUUCUCAUUUCUUAAUAACAAAUAGCAAAUUUUAGCAAAACAAGGAACACUAAAUCAAAACACUAAUCAAUUUUCCAAUCUUCAUUUCUUGAUACCAAUAUACAAAAUUUAGCAAAACAAGAACACUAAUAACACUGUCAAUCUUCUCAUUCCUUGAUAACAAUAUACAAAAUUUAGCAAAACAAGAACACUAAUAACACUAUCAAUCCUCUCAUUUCUUAAUAACAAAAUAGAAAAUUUAGCAAAACAAGAACAUUAAUAACACUAUCAAUCUUCUCAUUUCUUGAUAACAAUAUACAAAAUUUAUCAAAACAAGAACACUAAUAACACUAUCAAUCCUCUCAUUUCUUGAUAACAAUAUACAAAAUUCAGCAAAACAAGAACACUAAUAACACUAUCAAUCUUCUCAUUUCUUGAUAACAACAUACAAAAUUUAGCAAAAGAAGAACACUAAUAACACUAUCAAUCUUCAUAUUUCUUGAUAACAAUAUACAUAAUUUAGCAAAACAAGAACACUAAUAACACUAUCAAUCUUCUCAUUUCUUAAUAACAAAAUAGAAAAUUUAGCAAAACAAGAACACUAAUAACACUAUCAAUCUUCUCAUUUCUUGAUAACAAUAUAA
rnacentral:lncRNA from 1 species